GGUUGGUCUGAAAGUAGUGAACUAUCUCAGUUGACUCACAGUCGGGUACAGUCUAACUCCUUGUUCUACUCUUUCCCUCCUUCUCACUACUGUACCAGGCUUUUU
rnacentral:Y_RNA from 1 species